GAUGAAGAACGCAGCGAAAUGCGAUAAGUAGUGUGAAUUGCAGAAUUCAGUGAAUCAUCGAAUCUUUGAACGCACAUUGCGCCCCAUGGUAUUCCGUGGGGCAUGCCUGUUCGAGCGUCAUUUACCCCCUCAAGCACGGCUUGUGUGUUGGGCCCCGUCCUCCGAUCCCGGGGGACGGGCCCGAAAGGCAGCGGCGGCACCGCGUCCGGUCCUCGAGCGUAUGGGGCUUUGUCACCCGCUCUGUAGGCCCGGCCGGCGCUUGCCGAUCAACCCAAAUUUUUUAUCCAGGUUGACCUCGGAUCAGGUAGGGAUACCCGCUGAACUUAAGCAUAUCAAUAAGCGGAGGA
rnacentral:misc_RNA from 1 species